GGCUGCUCUGAGUGCAGCAGUGUUUACAACUCACUGAUCACAACCAGUUAGAUUUUGUUUGUUCCUUCUCCAUUCCCACUGCUUCACCUGACUAGCCUUAA
ensembl:misc_RNA Y_RNA Y RNA